rnacentral:tRNA from 1 species
GGGGCUAUAGCUCAAUGGCAGAGUGCUUGCCUACCAUGUAUGAGGCACUGGGGUUUGAUCCUUAGCAUCA